CCUACGGGAGGCAGCAGUGAGGAAUCUUGGUCAAUGGGCGCGAGCCUGAACCAGCCACGUAGCGUGAACGAUUGCAGCCCUACGGGUUGUAAACUUCUUUUAUCAAGGACUAAUGUGCAGCACGUGUACCUUUUUGUAUGUCCUUUCUGACUAAGGAUCGGCUAACUCAGUGCCAGCAGCCGCGGUAAUACGGAGGAUCCGAGCGUGCUCCGGAUUGAUUGGGUUUAAAGGGAGCGUAGGUGGGUUGUUAAGUCAGUUGUGAAAGUUUGCGGCUCAACCGUAAAAUUGCAAUUGAUACUGGCAGUCUUGAGUACAGUUGAGGUAAGUGGAAUUCGUGGUGUAGCGGUGAAAUGCGUAGAUAUCACGAAGAACUCCGAUGGCGAAGGCAGCUUACUAAACUGCCACUGACAUUGAUGCGCGAAAGUGUGGGUAGCAAACAGGAUUAGAUACCCUUGUAGUC
rnacentral:rRNA from 1 species